GGGUUUGAUUCUGGCUCAGGAUUGAACGCUGGCGGAUGCUUUACACAUGCAAGUCGAACGGCAGCACGGACUUCGGUCUGGUGGCGAGUGGCGAACGGGGUAAGUGAGUAAUGUAUCGGAACGCCUAGUAGCGGGGAUAACUACGCGAAAGCGUGUAGCCAUUAUCGCAUACGUUCUUCUUCGGGGGAAAGCGGGGACCUUCGGGCCUCGCACUAUUAGAGCGGCUGAAGUAUCGGAUUAGCUAGUUGGUGGGGUAACGGCUCACCAAGGCGACGAUCCGUAGCUGGUUUGAGAGGACGACCAGCCACACUGACUGAGACACGGCCCAGACUCCUACGGGAGGCAGCAGUGGGGAAUUUUGACAAUGGGGGAAACCUCCUGAUCCAGCCAUCCCGCGUGCGAUGAAGGCCUUCGGGUUGUAAAGCACUUUUUGGCAGGAAAGAAACGGCACGGAUAAUACCCCGUGCAACUGACGGUACUGCAGAAUAAGCACCGGCUAACUACGUGCCACAGCAGCCGCGGUAAUACGUAGGGUGCGUUAAUCGGAAUUACUGGGCGUAAAGCGUAUGCGCAGGCGGUCUGGAAAGAAAGAUGUGAAAUCCCAGAGCUUAACUUUUGAACUGCAUUUUUAACUACCGAGCUAGAAAGUGUGUCAGAGGGAGGUGGAAUUCGCGUGUAGUAGCAGUGAAAUGCAUAGAUAUGCGGAGGAACACCGAUGGCGAAGGCAGCCUCCUGGGAUAACACUGACGCUCAUGCACGAAAGCGUGGGGAGCAAACAGAUUAGAUACCUCUGGCAGUCCACGCCCUAAAACGAUGUCAACUAGCUGUUGGGGCCUUCGCCUUGGAAGGCAGCUAACAAGUGAAGUUGACUGCCUGGGAGUACGGUCGCAAGAUUAAAACUCAAAGGAAUUGACGGGGACCCGGCACAAGUUGUGGAUGAUGUGGAUUAAUUCGAUGCAACGCGAAAAACCUUACCUACCCUUGACAUGUCUGGAAUCCUGAAGAGAUUUGGGAGGCGGUUUCGCGGGGAGAACCGGAACACAGGUGCUGCAUGGCUGUCGUCAGCUCGUGUCGUGAGAUGUUGGGCUAAGUCCCAACGAGCGCAACCCUUGUCACUAGUUGCCAUUUAGGCGCACCUUAAUGAGACUGCCGGUGACAAACCGAUGUAGGCUGUGGGGAUGACGUCAAGUCCUCAUGGCCCUUAUGGGGGCUUCACACGUCAUACAAUGGUCGGGACAGAGGUCGCCAACCCGCGAGGGAGCCAAUCCCAGAAACCCGAUCGUAGUCCGGAUCGCAGUCUGCAACUCGACUGCGUGAAGUCGGAAUCGUUAGUAAUCGCGGAUCAGGCAUGUCGCGGUGAAUACGUUCCCGGGUCUUGUACACACCGCCCGUCACACCAUGGGAGUGGGUUUUACCAGAAGCAGUUAGCCUAACCGUAAGGAGGGCGAUUACUACGGUAGGAUUCAUGACUGGGGUGAAGUCGUAACAAGGUAA
rnacentral:rRNA from 1 species